rnacentral:lncRNA from 1 species
CAAACUUCAAUUUCAAACAUGUCUAAGGCUAAAAUGCUUGCAGUUUUCAUGGGUUUUGUACUUUUGUGCUACCUUAGCAACCCUUUGGCUCAUGCUUCAAAUGCUAAUGAACCAAAUUCUGUGUCGACCUCCAUCCCGAGUACCCAGGGGACUCUUCACAUUCCAUUCGAAGAAUCACUUGGUGGAUUGCCACAUAGACGACUGUUGGAAUGUUGUGGAUGUCAAGGCAGAUCUUGUCUCCUUUGCUGCAAGACAAAGAAUUGAACCGUGUGAUCUUAAUCUCGUUUUUUGCAAUUGGUAUUGUGUUUUCAUCCUGUCAAAUGUUGUGUUUGCUAAUGUAAUGUAUCAAAGAACUUUGAUACCGUAGUGUGUCACCUACAUGUCAUGUGUAAAACUUCUCUUCCUUUUUAUGCAUCAAGCUAUGUAAUCUUUGUUUUCGUUUUAAAUGUGCCGUCUAAGGAAUGUAAAAUAUUGUCUG